ACGUAGGAGGCGAGCGUUAUCCGGAUUUACUGGGUGUAAAGCGCGUGCAGGCGGUUUAGCAAGUCGUGCGUGAAAGCGCUCUGGCUCAACCGGGCGAGGACAAUGAAGACUGGUCAGCUAGAGGACGGUAGAGGGGUGUGGAAUUCCGGGUGUAGUGGUGAAAUGCGUAGAGAUCCGGAGGAACACCAGAGGCGAAGGCGACACCCUGGGCCGUACCUGACGCUAAGACGCGACAGCACGGGGAGCGAACGG
rnacentral:rRNA from 1 species